rnacentral:rRNA from 1 species
UACGAGUGCCUCAAGCGUUAUCCGGAAUCAUUGGGCGUAAAGGAUGUGUAGGUUGUCAUAUUAGUCUUCUGUUAAAGCUCCCGGCUUAACCGGGAACCUGCAGAAGAAACGGUAUGACUAGAGGGUGCAAGGGGUCUACGGAACUCAUAGUGUAGCGGUGAAAUGCGUUGAUAUUAUGGGGAACACCAAAAGCGAAGGCAGUAGACUGGGGCACUCCUGACACUGAAACAUGAAAGCGUGGGUAGCGAAUGGG